rnacentral:miRNA from 1 species
CCUAGGAUAAUAAGCUCAUGA